rnacentral:rRNA from 1 species
CACGGGGGGAGCAAGCGUUGUUCGGAAUUACUGGGCGUAAAGGGCUCGUAGGCGGCCAACUAAGUCGGAUGUGAAAUCCCCAGGCUUAACCUGGGAACUGCAUCCGAUACUGGAUGGCUUGAAUCCGGGAGAGGGAUGCAGAAUUCCAGGUGUAGCGGUGAAAUGCGUAGAUAUCUGGAGGAAUACCGGUGGCGAAGGCGGCAUCCUGGACCGGCAUUGACGCUGAUGAGCGAAAGCUAGGGGAGCAAACGGG